AGUGCAAUUUAGCAUCAAACUGUUGAUGGCCCCUCUAGCGGCCAAGUUGCCAAUUAAUCAUAUGAACCAAAGUUCUGUUACGUUCUAUAUGUUUAUGCAGAUUUAUGAGUGUAAAUUAGCCAAUUUGCCAUGAAAACCCAAUCCAAUAGACAAAUAGUGACUAAGCUAGAAUAACUGUGUACAUGCGCCACCAUCCGACGACCCCCCGACAUGGGCUGCGCACUUGAAACAGAAACACGAACAACAAAUUUGCUUGCAAAAACAACAAGUGACAGCAACAUUUCCGCCAACGAAAAGAACCUCGGUUUUGGAAAAGGCAGCUCGACGGACGGAAGCAUUUGCCGAAACGCCAUCAGAAAAGGGCGAAAAACAAAAAGUGUGCGAGUCAAAUACAAUACAGAAAGAUCGGACAAGAUCCCGUGAACAGCUGUCCAGACGAAAAAAGGAUUCCGAUCUCGUCGCGGAAAUAUUAGUGCAUCCCUCAAAAACCGAUAAAUCCUUGGUAAAGGCAGUACAGCACGCUCGACAAACCUGACCGCAGCACCGUCACGAGCGUGCGACAGAUAUUGGAUCUUAUCAGAGCCCGACAGGUAAACGCUCGCAUGCCUACAUCACCUUGCCAAGUUACAUUGGUAGAGGAAGGUUCUAAAAUCACCCACGAUCUCUUGGUACGGCUGUUUAGUCAUUGUGGCAUACAACACACGUAGGACCGCUGCUACGCAUGCCCGGACCGGUGAAACCGAUUGUGUCGUGAUACCUCCCGUGUGCUUAAACGACGACUAAGACGACGGACUACUGCGAGAAAAGACCUUCCAUCGGAAGGUCUUUUUGUUCACUGGUUUCAUUUCGCAGACAACGUUACACGCCGUGCCAAACGGCAGGUAGAGCACCAUCAGCCGUGGCUAGUCGGCGCACAGCACCGCCCUGCAACCACGGGGAGGAGUCAGGUGGCACAACUCUGAAGACAUGUCAUCAUCGAAAGCGAGUCGGGUGGAGGUCAUGUCGCCGUUGGGCGACAGCGUAGCCCAAGUCAGCGCACUCUGGUCCGUGAGUAGAAAUUAAGAAAAGCGAUGUUUUAGCAUAAGAAAGAAAGCUAGGCAGAGUAGGGCUAGUUUAUGAAUUGGUGUAAUACAUGGUUUGCUUAUGAAACGAUAUUCUGGCUAUUGGUUGGCGUUUGAUUUUGUGCUAGCCGAGACGACUGUAAGCCACUUAUUCUGCUUAGGUCGAACCUCCACAACAGUUCUAAAUGGUAGAUCUUAUCAAGCCCUAAAACUUUGCCGAAGAAAGUAUUGCGCUGACUCUUAAUAAACCCGAGAUAAUAGGCCACACCCCCAAAAAGCCGAAAUCCCAUAAGCUCUUAGUCUCCUAUAACGCUCACCCCUGUCUAGUAGGAGCUCGUUUAAUAGGAAUUCGUUUAGUAAGAGACUCGACUGUACUCUUCCGUUUUCUGAAAUCCGUUUGCUCCGGCACGUAAGAAAAAUAUUCGAAAUGUUUUUAAUUCUACGAUAGCUAAAUAGCGUCCAUAGAGUUAAAUUUUGAAUUUUUAUCUGAAGUAUUGUACCAAAUGGAUAUACAAUGGCUAAAAUAAAACAAUUUUAGUGAUGGAAUGAUAAGAAAUUUGCAAAUAAGCUUAACUUGAGCUGAUAUCCUUCAAAAUGAUCGUUAUAUUACAGAUCAACAUCAUAAAACGUAAAUUUUGGACCAAAUUUACCACAAUAGGGACACAAGUACGUUUUAGAAAUGAGAAUGUUGUGAAUCAACAAGAUAAGAUACAGCCAUGUUUCUUUAAAACAACAAAUCUUAUUGAAACAGGUAAAUGGACAUUUUUGUUUAAUUUUGUACAAAAUAAAAUGGCUUCGUACUCCACCAAUACAGAGUCUCAUAUUUUUUUCUUCUGGUCAUAGUUACUACUAGCAAUGGUGAAGACAGGAACCUAAUUUGUUUCAACUUUGAACCAUUACUCGUACAAAUGUGACGAAAUACCAAUGAAAUGGCGUGCGUGCCAGCUGAAAUGGACUUACGACACAUAAGCGAUCAGCAGAGAAGGAUAAAGGACAAUUUUUUCCAAAACAUAUGCUGCAUUUGAUCAGUGUUGUUUGCCUUUCAAUAAAUUUAUUUACUUUGAUAAUCCUAAUUUCAGAUGUGAAAUGAAUUCAAUUUGAUUUUGCAUGAGAACUUAUUGGACACGGUGUACAUUAGCGUGGUUCAAAAAAUCGUUUUUGCUCCACACCGCUUAUUCGAUUCAUACAUAACCAGAUUCUAUGCCCUCUCCUAAAAUUUGAACUGAAUUGGUUGAAAAUUGAGAGUGCACAAGCCCUUCAAAAUUUGUAUAGGAAUUACUAUGGGAAAACGACGUUUUCAUUCAUUUGACCGUAGCAUUUCCCCAAGUGGCCAAGAGUGUUUGUGGACCCUUGGUACUCCUAGGCUACUCUAUCAGCUACAACUUUGCCGAAGACCACAUUCAAAUCGGGCGCCUCAUUCAAUAGAUAUCGAUUUUUAUCCAAUUGGAGAAACCUUAACAGUGAUCGCUCAGCUUUCCAGCAGGCAACAUUGCUGCACAUGGCGCUAAAGAUAGCACACAAAAAUCAUGGCUACUAUGUUUCAAUGCAAAUUGCAGUGAUGCCCAUUGAACAGUGUAACCAUCAUGAUCAAAGAUUUUCAUUCCGGAUAAAAAUCGAUAACUAAUUAAUGAGGCGUCCGACUUGAAUGUGGUAUUCGGCAAAGUUGUAGCUGAUAGAGUAGCCUAGGAAUGCCAAAGGUCAACAAACACUCUUGGCCACUUGGGGAAAUGCUACGGUCAGUUGAAUGAAAAACGUCGUUUUUCCAUAGUAAUUUCCAUACAAACUUUGAAGGGCUUGUGCACUCUCAGUUUUUAACCAAAUCAGCUCAAUUUUUGGGAGAUGGCUUAGAAUCUGGUUACGAAUCGAAUAAGCGGUAUGGAGCAAAAACGAUUUUUUGAACCACAGUGUACAUACAGGGGCACGGUGUCAAAAUUUCAAUUAUUAUUGAACUUUCAUGUACCUCGAAUUUUUCUUCACAGAAUGUCAGUAUUUUUGCUAUUUUGCAUAAAUGGAAAGUUUGAAAAUAUUCCAUCGGGGAAAUUUUGAUUUAUAGAUGAGUUUUUGUAUACUUUCCAUACUUUA